AACGAACGCUGGCGGCAUGCCUAACACAUGCAAGUCGAACGAGACCUGCGGGUCUAGUGGCGCACGGGUGCGUAACGCGUGGGGAUCUGCCCUUUGCUUCGGAAUAACAGUUAGAAAUGACUGCUAAUACCGGAUGAUGACUUCGGUCCAAAGAUUUAUCGGCAAAGGAUGAACCCGCGUAGGAUUAGCUAGUUGGUGGGUAAAGGCCUACCAAGGCGACGAUCCUUAGCUGGUCUGAGAGGAUGAUCAGCCACACUGGGACUGAGACACGGCCCAGACUCCUACGGGAGGCAGCAGUGGGGAAUAUUGGACAAUGGGCGAAAGCCUGAUCCAGCAAUGCCGCGUGAGUGAUGAAGGCCUUAGGGUUGUAAAGCUCUUUUACCCGGGAUGAUAAUGACAGUACCGGGAGAAUAAGCUCCGGCUAACUCCGUGCCAGCAGCCGCGGUAAU
rnacentral:rRNA from 1 species